rnacentral:rRNA from 1 species
AUGGCUCAGUGAGGCCUUGGGACUGGCUCAGAGAGGUCGGCAACGACCACUCAGAGCCGGAAACUUGGUCAAACUUGGUCAUUUAGAGGAAGUAAAAGUCGUAACAAGGUUUCCGUAGGUGAGUAAAUAUCGCAAUUCCCCUUUUAACCGUUGAAUUUCCAAUAACUAACCCUUUUUUAGGUGAACCUGCGGAAGGAUCAUUAAAGAGUUAGGGUCUCUAUGGCCCGACCUCCCAACCCUAUGUGUAUUGAACCUGUGUUGCUUCGGCGGACCCGUCGUGAAAACGACCGCCGGAGGACUGUCGAGAGGCGUCCUCUGGCCCGCGUCCGUCGGUGGCCUACAUCUUCAAAAUUCUGAAUGAACCAUGUUUUACGCCUAAGUUCUUUUGAUAAAUUAAAGCAAAAACUUUCAACAACGGAUCUCUUGGUUCUGGCAUCGAUGAAGAACGCAGCGAAAUGCGAUAAGUAAUGCGAAUUGCAGAAUUCCAGUGAGUCAUCGAAUCUUUGAACGCACAUUGCGCCCUUUGGUAUUCCGAAGGGCAUGCCUGUUCGAGCGUCAUUAUCACCCCUCAAGCCCCUGGGCUUGGUGUUGGACGGCUUGGUCGUGAGAAUCGACCCCUCCUAAAGACAAUGACGGCGGCCUCGUGGAACCCCCGGUACACUGAGCUUCACUUUUGAGCACGUAUCGGAUGUCGAGGGUGCCCAGGUCACGGUCCUCUUCCUGCGAAUAGCGGGAAAAACACUUUUCAAGGUUGACCUCGGAUCAGGUAGGGAUACCCGCUGAACUUAAGCAUAUCAAUAAGCGGAGGAAAAGAAACCAACAGGGAUUGCCUCAGUAACGGCGAGUGAAGCGGCAACAGCUCAAAUUUGAAAUCUGGCCUCUUUGGGGUCCGAGUUGUAAUUUGUAGAGGAUGUUUCGGGUACCGCCUCGGUUUAAAUUUCUUGGAACAGAAUGUCAGAGAGGGUGAGAAUCCCGUCUUGGACCGGCGGUAGGGCCCGUGUGAAACUCCUUCGACGAGUCGAGUUGUUUGGGAAUGCAGCUCAAAAUGGGUGGUAUAUUUCAUCUAAAGCUAAAUAUUGGCCAGAGACCGAUAGCGCACAAGUAGAGUGAUCGAAAGAUGAAAAGCACUUUGAAAAGAGAGUUAAACAGUAUGUGAAAUUGUUGAAAGGGAAGCGCUUGCAACCAGACUUGAGCGCGGCGGUUCCCCCUUCCUUUUGGCUGGGUUACUCCGCCGCGUCCAGGCCAACAUCGGUUCUGGGGGUCGGUUAAAGGCCCUGGGAAUGUAUCUACCCUUCGGGCGUAGACUUAUAGCCCAGGGUGUCAUGCGGCCUCCCGGGACCGAGGAACGCGCUUCGGCUCGGAUGUUGGCGUAAUGGUUGUCAGCGACCCGUCUUGAAACACGGACCAAGGAGUCUAACAUCUAUGCGAGUGUUUGGGUGUCAAACCCGGAACGCGAAAUGAAAGUGAACGGAGGUAGGAAGCUUCGGCUGCACUAUCGACCGAUCCUGAUGUCUUCGGAUGGAUUUGAGUAAGAGCAUAGCUGUUGGGACCCGAAAGAUGGUGAACUAUGCCUGAAUAGGGUGAAGCCAGAGGAAACUCUGGUGGAGGCUCGCAGCGGUUCUGACGUGCAAAUCGAUCGUCAAAUUUGGGUAUAGGGGUAAGUUUUAAGUCCUUAUCCUUCUGAAAGAAUUUAAGCUAACAAUGUUCUCCAGGCGAAAGACUAAUCGAACCAUUCGACGACUACGAUCUUGUAGUGAGCUAUCUGGUGGUUAAGUGUAAUCCUGAAAGGGGUUGCAAGUGCCUUAUUCUGGCGCAACACUGUCAAAUUGCGGGGACUUCCUAAAGCUUUAGCGACCGCCUUACUUGUGAAAAUAGGUGUAGGCACCGGGUUAACGACCUAGGGUAUGGUAAAACUGCUAGAGAUAUUACAAUGGAUAAUCUGCAGCCAAGUCCUAAGGGUGUUCUUAUACCUAUGGAUGCAGUUCACAGACUAAAUGGCAGUGGGCUUUUAGGGAGAGAAAAAUCCCUUUAGGCUUAAGAUAUAGUCGGUCCCCCGGGGAGACCCGGGCGCACACGCUAAAUCUGGAAUGUAGAAUACUCCCGUCUCUUUAGAGGGGAGGCAUUCCAGACGUGAACGGUGCGGAUGCCCAUACGGCGUCGAGAAAUG